ACGGGAGGCAGCAGUGAGGAAUAUUGGUCAAUGGGCGGAAGCCUGAACCAGCCAAGUCGCGUGAAGGAUGAAGGUAUUAUGUAUUGUAAACUUCUUUAGUCGCAGAGAAAUAAGGAGGUCGAGACCUCUGAUGCUAGUAUGCGAAGAAUAAGGAUCGGCUAACUCCGUGCCAGCAGCCGCGGUAAUACGGAGGAUCCGAGCGUUAUCCGGAUUUAUUGGGUUUAAAGGGUGCGCAGGCGGCUUUUUAAGUCAGUGGUCAAAUCGCGGGGCUCACCCCCAUCCCGCCAUUGAUACUGGAGAGCUUGAUUGCGGUCGAGGUUGGCGGAAUUCGUCGUGUAGCGGUGAAAUGCAUAGAUAUGACGAAGAACACCGAUUGCGUAGGCAGCUGACCAGGCCGUAAAUGACGCUCAUGCACGAAAGUGCGGGGAUCGAACAGGAUUAGAUACCCUGGUA
rnacentral:rRNA from 1 species